ACACUAAGGUUUAUAUUUUAAAUUUAAGGUUUAUAUUUUAAAUAUUAAUUGAACUGUACAUUUAAGAUUCAUACCAGGUUUACUUCUUAUAGCUGAAUUAAUUUACAAUUAUAAAAAUAUGAAAAGAAUAAAAUUAAUGAGGAAAAUAUUUAAAAAUUAUAAAUAUGAUAUGGGAUUUACACCUAGAAUUGCAUAAAUAACUCAUAUAACUCAAUAUUAAAAGACAAAUAACCAAUUAAAGAAUGGGCAAGGUAUCUGUAUAGCUAUUUCUGCAAAGCAUAUAAAAAAUGACUAAUAAGCACAUGAAAAGAUAGAUGUUUGACAUUAUUAGUCAUUAAGGAAAUACAAAUCAAAGCCACAUUGGGAUACCAACCGUGUCACACCAACUAGGAUGAUAUGAAUAAAAAGUCAGAUAGUAAUGCUGAUAAAGAUGUGGAGAAAUAAGGACCCGUAUAGACUGCUUGUAGGAUGUACAGUGUUACAGACACCAUGGUUUAGCUCUAGAAUGUCCCCCUAAAGGCUUUCGUGUUUGGAAGGUGAUUAGAUCACUGGGUGCUAUAUUCAUCAGUGGAUUAGUCCACUAAAGAGCGCAGCUGUUGGAGGCUGGACACUGGGACAUGACGGGGCUGGGUGUCUCUCCCUCCCUGGCUCCUCCCAUCUCUCUCUGCUUCCUGGCUGCCAUGAGUUGAGUACCUUCUCCUGUGCCAUGCCUCUGUGCAUCCUUUUCCUGUCUUGGAGCCAGCCAACCAUAGCACGAAGCCAUUGGCCAAAAUAAACCUGUCCUUUAAGUCGUAAGUGUUGGGUAUUUCGUUCCAGGGCUGAGAAUGAGUAAGAUAGACACUUUGGAAACCAGUCUGACCGUUUUCCAAAAAAGUUAAACACAGGGUUAUCAUUUUGACCCAGAAAUUCCAUUCCUAGACUAGAAAACAUAUAUUAAACUCCUGACCAAAUCUGCCUUUGGAAAGAAGGGGAAUUGGGAGCAAAAGGUAUUUUACUUUUAUCUAGAAUGCUCUAUUAUAUUUAUUUUUCAAAAAAAUGUUUGAAUCAAACAUGUCGGAAUAUUAAAAAC
ensembl:lncRNA